rnacentral:rRNA from 1 species
CCUACGGGCGGCAGCAGUGGGGAAUAUUGCACAAUGGGGGAAACCCUGAUGCAGCAACGCCGCGUGAAGGAAGACGGUUUUCGGAUUGUAAACUUCUAUCAAUAGGGAAGAAAGAAAUGACGGUACCUGGGGAGGAAGCUCCGGCUAACUACGUGCCAGCAGCCGCGGUAAUACGUAGGGAGCGAGCGUUGUCCGGAAUUACUGGGUGUAAAGGGAGCGUAGGCGGGACUGCAAGUUGGGUGUCAAAUCUACCGGCUCAACCGGUAGCCGCACUCAAAACUGCAGUUCUUGAGUGAAGUAGAGGCAGGCGGAAUUCCUAGUGUAGCGGUGAAAUGCGUAGAUAUUAGGAGGAACACCAGUGGCGAAGGUGGCCUGCUGGGCUUUUACUGACGCUGAGGCUCGAAAGUGUGGGGAGCAAACAGGAUUAGAUACCCCGGUAGUC